GCCAGCGUAGCUCAACCGGCAGAGCGACGCAUUCGUAAUGCGUAGGUUGAGGGUUCAAGUCCCUCCGCUGGCUCCA
rnacentral:tRNA from 2 species